UGGAAACUNUCUGACUUGAGUGCAGAAGGGGAGAGUGGAAUNCCAUGUGUAGCGGUGAAAUGCGUAGAUAUACGGAGGAACACCAGUGGCGAAAGCGGCUCUCUGNUCUGUCACUGACGCUGAGGCUCGAAAGCGUGGGUAGCGAACAGGAUUAGAUACCCUGGUAGUNCACGCCGUAAACGAUGAGUGCUAGGUGUUAGGCCCUUUCCGGGGCUUAGUGCCGGAGCUAACGCAAUAAGCACUCCGCCUGGGGAGUACGACCGCAAGGUUGAAACUCAAAGGAAUUGACGGGGGCCCGCACAAGCGGUGGAGCAUGUGGUUUAAUUCGAAGCAACGCGAAGAACCUUACCAGGUCUUGACAUCCCGAUGCUAUUCUUAGAGAUAGGAAGUUACUUCGGUACAUCGGAGACAGGUGGUGCAUGGUUGUCGUCAGCUCGUGUCGUGAGAUGUUGGGUUAAGUCCCGCAACGAGCGCAACCCUUAUUGUUAGUUGCCAUCAUUAAGUUGGGCACUCUAGCGAGACUGCCGGUAAUAAACCGGAGGAAGGUGGGGAUGACGUCAAAUCAUCAUGCCCCUUAUGACCUGGGCUACACACGUGCUACAAUGGUCGGUACAACGAGUUGCGAGCCGGUGACGGCAAGCUAAUCUCUGAAAGCCGAUCUCAGUUCGGAUUGGAGGCUGCAACUCGCCUCCAUGAAGUCGGAAUCGCUAGUAAUCGCGGAUCAGCACGCCGCGGUGAAUACGUUCCCGGGCCUUGUACACACCGCCCGUCACACCACGAGAGUUUGUAACACCC
rnacentral:rRNA from 1 species